CCUACGGGCGGCUGCAGUGAGGAAUAUUCCUCAAUGGCCGAAAGGCUGAAGGAGCGACGUCGCGUGAUUGAUGAAGUCCUUCGGGAUGUAAAGAUCUUUUCUUAGGGACGAAUUUUGACGGUACCUAAGGAAUAAGAGGUUGCUAACUCUGUGCCAGCAGCAGCGGUAAUACAGAGACCUCAAGCGUUAUCCGGAUUUAUUGGGCGUAAAGCGUCCGCAGGUGGUUUGUUAAGUUUCGUUUCAAAUCCAAGUGCUUAACAUUUGGACCGGACGGAAAACUAACAAGCUAGAGGACGGGAGAGGCAAGCGGAAUGGCCGGUGUAGGGGUCAAAUCCGUUAAUAUCGGCUAGAACACCAAAGGCGAAGGCAGCUUGCUAGAACGUUCCUGACACUAAUGCACGAAAGCGUGGGUAGCGAACAGGAUUAGAUACCCUAGUAGUC
rnacentral:rRNA from 1 species